UAAUACGUAGGGGGCAAGCGUUGUCCGGAAUGACUGGGCGUAAAGGGCGUGUAGGCGGCCGAUUAAGUCUGGAGUGAAAGUCCUGCUUUCAAGGUGGGAAUUGCUUUGGAGACUGGUUGGCUUGAGUGCGGAAGAGGUAAGUGGAAUUCCCAGUGUAGCGGUGAAAUGCGUAGAGAUUGGGAGGAACACCAGUGGCGAAGGCGACUUACUGGGCCGUAACUGACGCUGAGGCGCGAAAGCGUGGGGAGCGAACAGG
rnacentral:rRNA from 1 species